rnacentral:rRNA from 1 species
CAAUAGCGUAUAUUAAAGUUGUUGCAGUUAAAAAGCUCGUAGCUGGAUUUGUGGCGUACGGUGUGUUCCGGGCACUUGUUGUCUGAGUAACCUGCUGUUGCCAUCCUUGGGUGGAACCUGUGUGGCAUUAGGUUGUCGUGCAGGGGAUGCCCAUCAUUUACUGUGAAAAAAUUAGAGUGUUCAAAGCAGGCUUAUGCCGUUGAAUAUAUUAGCAUGGAAUAAUGAGAUAGGACUUUUUUGCUAUUUUGUUGGUUUGCGCAAAGAGGUAAUGAUUAAUAGGGACAGUUGGGGGUAUUCGUAUUCCAUUGUCAGAGGUGAAAUUCUUGGAUUUUUGGAAGACGAACUACUGCGAAAGCAUUUACCAAGGAUGUUUUCAUUAA